UGGAUCCAGACUUUGAUUAUGGCUCAGGAUGAACGCUAGCUACAGGCUUAACACAUGCAAGUCGAGGGGCAGCAUGACGAUAGCUUGCUAUCGUUGAUGGCGACCGGCGCACGGGUGAGUAACGCGUAUCCAACCUGCCCUUGUCCAUCGGAUAACCCGUCGAAAGGCGGCCUAACACGAUAUGCAGUUCUCAGCAGGCAUCUAACGAGAACGAAAUGUAAAGGAGAAGGAUGGGGAUGCGUCUGAUUAGCUUGUUGGCGGGGUAACGGCCCACCAAGGCAACGAUCAGUAGGGGUUCUGAGAGGAAGGUCCCCCACAUUGGAAUUGAGACACGGUCCAAACUCCUACGGGAGGCAGCAGUGAGGAAUAUUGGUCAAUGGACGGAAGUCUGAACCAGCCAAGUAGCGUGCAGGAUGACGGCCCUAUGGGUUGUAAACUGCUCUUAUACGGGGAUAAAGUGAGCCACGUGUGGCUUAUUGCAGGUACCGUAUGAAUAAGGACCGGCUAAUUCCGUGCCAGCAGCCGCGGUAAUACGGAAGGUCCGGGCGUUAUCCGGAUUUAUUGGGUUUAAAGGGAGCGUAGGCCGUUUGUUAAGCGUGUUGUGAAAUGUCGGGGCUCAACCUGGGCAUUGCAGCGCGAACUGGCAGACUUGAGUGCGCGGGAAGUAGGCGGAAUUCGUCGUGUAGCGGUGAAAUGCUUAGAUAUGACGAAGAACUCCGAUUGCGAAGGCAGCCUGCUGUAGCGUAACUGACGCUGAAGCUCGAAAGCGUGGGUAUCGAACAGGAUUAGAUACCCUGGUAGUCCACGCGGUAAACGAUGGAUGCUCGCUGUUUGCGUCUGACGUAAGCGGCCAAGCGAAAGCGUUAAGCAUCCCACCUGGGGAGUACGCCGGCAACGGUGCAACUCAAAUGAAUUGACGGA
rnacentral:rRNA from 1 species